rnacentral:rRNA from 1 species
GACGAACGCUGGCGGCGUGCCUAAUACAUGCAAGUCGAACGCUUCUUUCCUCCCGAGUGCUUGCACUCAAUUGGAAAGCGGAGUGGCGGACGGGUGAGUAACACGUGGGUAACCUACCCAUCAGAGGGGGAUAACACUUGGAAACAGGUGCUAAUACCGCAUAACAGUUUAUGCCGCAUGGCAUAAGAGUGAAUGGCGCUUUCGGGUGUCGCUGAUGGAUGGACCCGCGGUGCAUUAGCUAGUUGGUGAGGUAACGGCUCACCAAGGCCACGAUGCAUAGCCGACCGGAGAGGGUGAUCGGCCACACUGGGACUGAGACAGGGCCCAGACUCCUACGGGAGGCAGCAGUAGGGAAUCUUCGGCAAUGGACGAAAGUCUGACCGAGCAACGCCGCGUGAGUGAAGAAGGUUUUCGGAUCGUAAAACUCUGUUGUUAGAGAAGAACAAGGACGUUAGUAACUGAACGUCCCCUGACGGUAUCUAACCAGAAAGCCACGGCUAACUACGUG